rnacentral:rRNA from 1 species
CAAUAGCGUAUAUUAAAGUUGUUGCGGUUAAAAAGCUCGUAGUUGGAUUUCUGCCGAGGACGACCGGUCCGCCCUGUGGGUGAGCAUCUGGAUCGGCCUGGGCAUCUUCUUGGGGAACGUAGCUGCACUUGACUGUGUGGUGCGGUAUCCAGGACUUUACCUUGAGGAAAUUAGAGUGUUUCAAGCAGGCGCACGCCUUGAAUACAUUAGCAUGGAAUAAUAAGAUAGGACCUCGGUUCUAUUUUGUUGGUUUCUAGAGCUGAGGUAAUGAUUAAUAGGGAUAGUUGGGGGCAUUCGUAUUUAACUGUCAGAGGUGAAAUUCUUGGAUUUUUAAAGACUGAACAAUUGCGAAGGCAUCUACCCAGGAUGUUUUUGUUGAUCAAGAACGAAAGUUAGGGGAUCGAAGAUGAUUAGAU